rnacentral:rRNA from 1 species
AUUGAACGCUGGCGGCAGGCUUAACACAUGCAAGUCGAACGAGUGGCGGACGGGUGAGUAAUGCUUGGUAAUCUCGCUUAUGGAGGGGGAUAACUACUGGAAACUGUAGCUAAUACCGCGUACCAUAGGAUGAGCCCAAGUGGGAUUAGGUAGUUGGUGAGGUAAAGGCUCACCAAGCCGACGAUCUCUAGCUGGUCUGAGAGGAGGACCAGCCACACUGGAAUUGAGAAACGGCCCGGACGACUACGGGAGGCAGCAGUGGGGAAGAUUGCGCAAUGGGAGGAACCUGACGCAGCCAUGCCGCGUGAAGGAAGAAGGCCUUCGGGUUGGAAAGUUCUUUCGGUAGCGAGGCGGUAACUACAGAAGAAGCACCGGCUAACUCCGUGCCAGCAGCCGCGGUAAUUC